ACUCUCUCCUCUGGGCUUUGCUUUAGAGAGGACUUUUCCGCCUUGGUUUGGUCUAGUCUAUUUCUUUUGUGGCCAGGUCUUUGGAUUUCAUUGUCUUUGCCACGUGCAAUAUAGCUACUUUGUAUAAUAAGUUCAUUUGAAAACAUUUUGAGAAAAUAUACGCCAAGACAGAAUUUAGUGAUUUAAAGACGAGGGAACUCGCGCAAGGGUGUGUUGUUACUCGAACGUCUUCGUGAAUUCCCGCUCUAUUCUGUACGUUCAGGGCAGUGAAAACUGCUCACUCAGGGGGAAAAAAGCAAUACCAAACCCCCAAAACUAAUCGUUCCCUAAGCUCCCCCUCCCGAGAGAGAGAGAGAGAGAGAGAGAGAGAUGCCUUUACAGGCAGGUUUUUCUGAGCAAGGUGGCUUUUUGGAUGCCUGUCUGCCCCCCGCCCCCAGCCCUCUCCUGGGAAUGGGGCCUUGGACCUCACGCUUCUCCAGGAAACAAUCAGAAUAAUUUCCUACUGGGAAAAAAAGGAAAUGGAAUUUCAAAUGAAAAAUGAACAAGAGGGGCUUUGAUAGCAAUGCCACAGGGGCGCGCGCGCUCCUCCGCCACUCUAUACCUUUCUCCCCCGCAGGCUCUCGGUUUGGCAGUCCCGAGAGGCGGCGGGCAGGGAGUCGGAGUCGGCCUCUCCCCUCCUCACCCUGAGGGCGGACAGGGCGGCCUCAGCGCCCGGCGUGCGAGCCCUUUAAGAGCUCCACCAGCCGAGCUGCAGUUUGACAUCAGCCGGCCGGCGAGGGCGCGCCUGGAGUCGGAGCACGUGCCAGGAUGUUUUAUUGCCGCCGCGGCUGCGGCCGGACCCAGAGGAUGUGUGUGUGCGUGCGUGUGUGAGUGUGUAUGUGAGUGCGUGUGUGUGUGCGCGCGCGCGCCCCGGGGGCAGGGAGGCGGGGGCCGGCGGCGGGCCGCCGGGAGCGGGGGCCGGCUCUAGUCCCCGGGAGAAGCCAAGAAGCCUGCCAGAGACUGGGUUGCUGCCUUGCCAAGAGCUAUCCUGCUAGGGCUAUUGAAAGAGCUUUAAGGCGGCAGCCGGUUCCAUGCAGCUGGGAGUGUGUCCGGAGACACUGUCGACAUUCCAAGCGUCCUGUGCCUGCAUGUUUGUCUGUGGGUGCCUCCUGGCGACACCACACCACACCGGGGCUGGAAGGAAGCCGGAGAUUACUUUCUCUGUGGCCACUUUUCUGCUCUGGCUGCAGGUGUUUGGCUGGCUGGUGAUGUCAGGAUCCUUUCCGGGAAUCAUCAUCACUGUCUUCUCAGAUAAGAGCCUUCAAGCUCAUCACAGAAGUCCCAAGCAGAACUUCUCAUAACCUGGACAGUCCCCCAAAAAGGAAUUUGAACCUGUUCCUUUAUAUGCCCCUGUCUAUCUAGCAGGUGUCUAAUAAAUAAUUCCCAAAUGAAC